rnacentral:lncRNA from 1 species
AUCAAAUACAAAUACAUAUUACUAAUGAACAUUGUCUAAUAAUACAUUAAAUGUGUCUAAUAAUACAUAUUAAAAGUGUCAACUACAAAAGUUUAACUAAGUGCUUACAAACAUAAAACUGAGAAUUAUUUUGUGGAUUACUUGGCAAAUUAGCGGGUAAGUUGAAUCGAUAAAGGCUCACAAGUGUUCUUCAAUUUGAGUUUUGAAUCAUAUUCUUCCUGUUACAACACACGAUAAUCAAUGAUCACAAAAAAAAAUACAAAUAUAGCAAUGUACUUUCAUUUACUUUUUUAAUAUAGCCUUAAUUAGGAAUACUUUCGAAAGUACAACGUUAUAAGUAAGACAAAAUGAAAGUAAGAUGUUAUAAUAAACAUGUAUAUCUUGCAUUUAACUAGCUCAAAAAUAAACACAUUUCCUUCUAAUAAUCAACUCCUUCAUCAUGUUGUUGAAUCACUACAAUAAUUGACUCAUUCAUCAUUUUGUCAUCACAAGAAGUUGGCUACCAAUAUAAUGAUCCAUAAUCCAUAAUAAAGAUAGAAAUUAAAGCAAAUAUAUGCAGGCACCAAGAUUUAAUCAUUUAAAAACCACUCACCACUCCAAUAUGCAAUUAAUGGCUACCAAAAUCUUUGAAAGAUGCUACAUCUAGCUCCCAAAAAUAACAUAUUUGUGUCAAUUAUUUAUUAGUAGUAAAAUAAAAGGAAAGUGUGUUUAAGGAAAUAUGAACUUACAAUACAAUACAUGGUCAAUUAAUUGUUCAAAUCAUAUCCUCAAAAUUCAUCCCCAACUCCAAAUCAGCCACCAUUACACCCAAAUUUUCAAUUAUCAAAAAUUAAAAAACCAAAACUGAAGUGAAACUCGUAAAAUAAUGGCAAAAUCAAUGCAAUCUGAUAAAAAUUGGAAGAAAAACUAAAGGAAAUAUGGAAAAAAAAAUUGUCUUUUUCAC